GAUGAACGCUAGCUACAGGCUUAACACAUGCAAGUCGAGGGGAAACGAUAUUGGAAGCUUGCUUCCGAUAGGCGUCGACCGGCGCACGGGUGAGUAACGCGUAUCCAACCUGCCCAUCACUUGGGGAUAACCUUGCGGAAGUAAGACUAAUACCCAAUGACGUCUCUAGAAGACAUCUGAAAGAGAUUAAAGAUUUAUCGGUGAUGGAUGGGGAUGCGUCUGAUUAGCUUGUUGGCGGGGUAACGGCCCACCAAGGCGACGAUCAGUAGGGGUUCUGAGAGGAAGGUCCCCCACAUUGGAACUGAGACACGGUCCAAACGCCUACGGGAGGCAGCAGUGAGGAAUAUUGGGCAAUGGGCGAGAGCCUGAACCAGCCAAGUAGCGUGCAGGAUGAUGGCCCUAUGGGUUGUAAACUGCUUUUAUAAGGGAAUAAAGUGAGAGUCGUGACUCUUUUUGCAUGUACCUUAUGAAUAAGGACCGGCUAAUUCCGUGCCAGCAGCCGCAGUAA
rnacentral:rRNA from 1 species